GUGGAGUAUGUGGUUUAAUUCGACGCAACGCGCAGAACCUUACCUAGGCUUGACAUCCCGGGAAUUUGCUGGAAACAGUGAAGUGCUUUCAUUAGAAAGAGCCCGGUGACAGGUGCUGCAUGGCUGUCGUCAGCUCGUGUCGUGAGAUGUUGGGUUAAGUCCCGCAACGAGCGCAACCCUCGCCUUUAGUUGCCAGCAUUCAGUUGGGCACGUCUAAAGGGACUGCCGGUGUCAAACCGGAGGAAGGUGGGAUGACGUCAAGUCCUCAUGGCCUUUAUGUCUAGGGCUACACACGUACUACAAUGGCAGGUACAAAGGGCAGCGACACAGCGAUGUGAUGCGAAUCCCGAAAAGCCUGUCUCAGUCCGGAUCGGAGUCUGCAACUCGACUCCGUGAAGUUGGAAUCGCUAGUAAUCGUGGAUCAGCAUGCCACGGUGAAUACGUUCCCGGGCCUU
rnacentral:rRNA from 1 species